rnacentral:tRNA from 1 species
UGGGGUGUAGCUCAGUGGCAGAGCACUUGCCUAACACAUGUGAGGCCUGGGUAUGAUACCCAGCAUCACAA